CCUACGGGUGGCAGCAGUGAGGAAUAUUGGUCAAUGGGCGGAAGCCUGAACCAGCCAAGUAGCGUGCAGGAUGACGGCCCUACGGGUUGUAAACUGCUUUUAUACGGGAAUAACGCGCCUUACGUGUAGGGCUUUGCAUGUACCGUAUGAAUAAGGACCGGCUAAUUCCGUGCCAGCAGCCGCGGUAAUACGGUAGGUACGGGCGUUAUCCGGAUUUAUUGGGUUUAAAGGGAGCGUAGGCCGCAGGUUAAGCGUGCUGUGAAAUGUCCGGGCUCAACCCGGGCCUUGCAGCGCGAACUGGCGUGCUUGAGUCCGCGGAAGGCAGGCGGAAUUCGUCGUGUAGCGGUGGAAUGCUUAGAUAUGACGAAGAACCCCGAUUGCGAAGGCAGCUUGCUGCAGCGGAACUGACGCUGAUGCUCGAAAGCGCGGGUAUCGAACAGGAUUAGAUACCCUAGUAGUC
rnacentral:rRNA from 1 species